GUGGGAAGUGUUGUUAAACACCAUUCAAUCAAUCAGAUAGUUCUUUGAAUUGUGUUUUCUAUUUUGUCAGAUGAGGUGCCUCUCAUGUUUGGGUUUUGCCUCUUGUAACAGUGUAAACUGUCAGAGUGUACAAUAAAAUCUUGAAUCUUGCUCAUUCUUCAUAAAUCAUACAGACCCAUACACUGUACAUCAUUCAAUCGUUGGUCACAGUGGCAAUCACACCAUAUA
rnacentral:lncRNA from 1 species